rnacentral:misc_RNA from 1 species
GAAAUGCGAUAAGUAAUGUGAAUUGCAGAAUUCAGUGAAUCAUCGAAUCUUUGAACGCACAUUGCGCCCGCCAGUAUUCUGGCGGGCAUGCCUGUUCGAGCGUCAUUACAACCCUCAGGCCCCCGGGCCUGGCGUUGGGGAUCGGCGGAAGCCCCCUGCGGGCACAACGCCGUCCCCCAAAUACAGUGUCGGUCCCGCCGCAGCUUCCAUUGCGUAGUAGCUAACACCUCGCAACUGGAGAGCGGCGCGGCCACGCCGUAAAACACCCAACUUCUGAAUGUUGACCUCGAAUCAGGUAGGAAUACCCGCUGAACUUAAGC